GACAAACAUGUAGGAGAGAAAGCGCCAUGCCUCCUUCCUGGACUCAGGCUUGUAUGAGAGCGGGCUGUUCCAGAUGCCUUCAUCCAGGGUCACCCACUGCUUCUGAGGCUUCCACACAGCGUAGUAGAUAAACACUGCCAGCUGAUGAAGACCAGAAUAUACACACAAGGCAAGAGCUACCUCUGCAAUACUGAUGAGGAUGAUGAAGAUGGGCGGUGGGAAGCAGUUGGCCCGUUCCAGGCUGGUCUUCUUCACCCCUAAACCGUCUCCCAUCUCGGUCCACGGGGAACGGCUCCUCCUGCUCGACGUCGAUGUCCUCCAUCACUGCUCCAGUCCUACACAGCAGAUUCAAUAGUCGGAGUUAAAGAUGA